rnacentral:rRNA from 1 species
GGUGGGGCAAAUGAUUGGGGUGAAGUCGUAACAAGGUAUCCCUACCGGAAGGUGGGGAUGGAUCACCUCCUUUCU